UAUUAGAAUGUAGGAGGUAUAUCAGAAUGUAGGAGGUAUAUCAGAAUGUAGGAGGUAUAUCAGAAUGUAGGAGGUAUAUCAGAAUGUAGGAGGUAUAUCAGAAU